UACGGAGGGUGCAAGCGUCAUCCGGAUUCACUGGGUUUAAAGGGUGCGUAGGCGGGUGUGUAAGUCAGUGGUGAAAUCUUCGAGCUUAACUCGGAAACUGCCGUUGAUACUACAUGUCUUGAAUACCGUGGAGGUGAGCGGAAUAUGUCAUGUAGCGGUGAAAUGCUUAGAUAUGACAUAGAACACCAAUUGCGAAGGCAGCUCACUACACGAAUAUUGACGCUGAGGCACGAAAGCGUGGGGAUCAAACAGG
rnacentral:rRNA from 1 species